rnacentral:rRNA from 1 species
UAGGGAAUCUUCCGCAAUGGACGCAAGUCUGACGGAGCAACGCCGCGUGAGUGAAGAAGGAUUUCGGUUCGUAAAACUCUGUUGUUAGAGAAGAACAGCGCAUAGAGUAACUGUUAUGCGUGUGACGGUAUCUAACCAGAAAGCCACGGCUAACUACGUGCCAGCAGCCGCGGUAAUACGUAGGUGGCAAGCGUUGUCCGGAUUUAUUGGGCGUAAAGCGGGCGCAGGCGGUCAAUUAAGUCUGAUGUGAAAGCCCCCGGCUCAACCGGGGAGGGUCAUUGGAAACUGGUUGACUUGAGUGCAGAAGAGGAGGGUGGAAUUCCAUGUGUAGGGGUGAAAUGCGUAGAUAUAUGGAGGAACACCAGUGGCGAAGGCGACUCUCUGGUCUGUAACUGACGCUGAGGGUCGAAAGCGUGGGUAGCAAACAGG